rnacentral:rRNA from 1 species
GAGGAAUAUUGGACAAUGGAGGCAACUCUGAUCCAGCCAUGCCGCGUGCAGGAAGACGGCCCUACGGGUUGUAAACUGCUUUUAUACAGGAAGAAUUAUAUCUACGUGUAGGUAUUUGACGGUACUGUAAGAAUAAGGAUCGGCUAACUCCGUGCCAGCAGCCGCGGUAAUACGGAGGAUCCAAGCGUUAUCCGGAAUUAUUGGGUUUAAAGGGUCCGUAGGCGGUUUUUUAAGUCAGAGGUGAAAUCCUGCAGCUCAACUGUAGCAUUGCCUUUGAUACUGAAAGACUUGAGUUAUUGUGAAGUAGUUAGAAUGUGUAGUGUAGCGGUGAAAUGCAUAGAUAUUACACAGAAUACCGAUUGCGAAAGCAGAUUACUAACAAUAUACUGACGCUGAGGGACGAAAGCGUGGGUAGCGAAC